CAGUCGCCACGGUAAUACAGAGGGUGCGAGCGUUAAUCGGAUUUACUGGGCGUAAAGCGUGCGUAGGCGGCUUUUUAAGUCGGAUGUGAAAUCCCUGAGCUUAACUUAGGAAUUGCAUUCGAUACUGGGAAGCUAGAGUAUGGGAGAGGAUGGUAGAAUUCCAGGUGUAGCGGUGAAAUGCGUAGAGAUCUGGAGGAAUACCGAUGGCGAAGGCAGCCAUCUGGCCUAAUACUGACGCUGAGGUACGAAAGCAUGGGGAGCAAACAGGAUUAGAUACCCGGGUAGUCCCUGUCUCUUAUAU
rnacentral:rRNA from 1 species